rnacentral:rRNA from 1 species
GACGAACGCUGGCGGCGUGCCUAAUACAUGCAAGUAGAACGCUGAAGAGAGGAGCUUGCUCUUCUUGGAUGAGUUGUGAACGGGUGAGUAACGCGUAGGUAACCUGCCUUGUAGCGGGGGAUAACUAUUGGAAACGAUAGCUAAUACCGCAUAACAAUGGAUGACACAUGUCAUUUAUUUGAAAGGGGCAAUUGCUCCACUACAAGAUGGACCUGCGUUGUAUUAGCUAGUAGGUGAGGUAAUGGCUCACCUAGGCGACGAUACAUAGCCGACCUGAGAGGGUGAUCGGCCACACUGGGACUGAGACACGGCCCAGACUCCUACGGGAGGCAGCAGUAGGGAAUCUUCGGCAAUGGGGGCAACCCUGACCGAGCAACGCCGCGUGAGUGAAGAAGGUUUUCGGAUCGUAAAGCUCUGUUGUAAGUCAAGAACGGGUGUGAGAGUGGAAAGUUCACACUGUGACGGUAGCUUACCAGAAAGGGACGGCUAACUACGUG